rnacentral:sRNA from 1 species
GAAACAAACCGGCAAAUUCACACACGUGUCGGCACGUUGUCCCAGGGUGCCCGUUUCGCCAUGGCGGAACCGGGUUGGGGCAAUCGGACGCGUGGAGGACUAAC